GACGAACGCUGGCGGCGUGCUUAACACAUGCAAGUCGAACGGAAAGGCCCUGCUUUUGUGGGGUGCUCGAGUGGCGAACGGGUGAGUAACACGUGAGUAACCUGCCCUUGACUUUGGGAUAACUUCAGGAAACUGGGGCUAAUACCGGAUAGGAGCUCCUGCUGCAUGGUGGGGGUUGGAAAGUUUCGGCGGUUGGGGAUGGACUCGCGGCUUAUCAGCUUGUUGGUGGGGUAGUGGCUUACCAAGGCUUUGACGGGUAGCCGGCCUGGGAGGGUGACCGGCCACAUUGGGACUGAGAUACGGCCCAGACUCCUACGGGAGGCAGCAGGGGGGAAUAUUGCACAAUGGGCGGAAGCGUGAUGCAGCAACGCCGCGUGCGGGAUGACGGCCUUCGGGUUGUAAACCGCUUUCGCCUGUGACGAAGCGUGAGUGACGGUAAUGGGUAAAGAAGCACCGGCUAACUACGUG
rnacentral:rRNA from 1 species